rnacentral:rRNA from 1 species
UAGAGUUUGAUCAUGGCUCAGAUUGAACGCUGGCGGCAGGCCUAACACAUGCAAGUCGAGCGGAAACGAUGGAAGCUUGCUUCCAGGCGUCGAGCGGCGGACGGGUGAGUAAUGCAUGGGAAUCUGCCCGAUAGUGGGGGAUAACCUGGGGAAACCCAGGCUAAUACCGCAUACGUCCUACGGGAGAAAGCAGGGGAUCUUCGGACCUUGCGCUAUCGGAUGAGCCCAUGUCGGAUUAGCUUGUUGGUGAGGUAAUGGCUCACCAAGGCGACGAUCCGUAGCUGGUCUGAGAGGAUGAUCAGCCACAUCGGGACUGAGACACGGCCCGAACUCCUACGGGAGGCAGCAGUGGGGAAUAUUGGACAAUGGGCGAAAGCCUGAUCCAGCCAUGCCGCGUGUGUGAAGAAGGCCCUCGGGUUGUAAAGCACUUUCAGUGGGGAAGAAAGCCUUGGGAUUAAUACUCCCGAGGAAGGACAUCACCCACAGAAGAAGCACCGGCUAACUCCGUGCCAGCAGCCGCGGUAAU